AUUAGCUAGUAGGUAGGGUAAUGGCCUACCUAGGCGACGAUCCUUAGGGGUUCUGAGAGGAUUACCCCCCACACUGGGACUGAGACACGACCCAGACUCCUACGGGAGGCAGCAGUGAGGAAUAUUGGUCAAUGGCCGGAAGGCUGAACCAGCCAUCCCGCGUGCAGGAUGACGGCCCUACGGGUUGUAAACUGCUUUUCUGCUAGAAGAAACCUGGUUACGAGUAACCAGUUGCCGGUAUAGUAGGAAUAAGCAUCGGCUAACUCCGUGCCAGCAGCCGCGGUAAUACGGAGGAUGCAAGCGUUAUCCGGAUUCAUUGGGUUUAAAGGGUGCGCAGGCGGGCUUGUAAGUCAGUGGUGAAAUGCUGCCGCUUAACGGUAGAAUUGCCAUUGAUACUGCAGGUCUUGAAUAUGGUUGAGGUAGGCGGAAUGUGUUGUGUAGCGGUGAAAUGCAUAGAUAUGACACAGAACGCCGAUUGCGAAGGCAGCUUACUAAGCCAUCAUUGACGCUGAGGCACGAAAGCGUGGGGAGCGAACAGGAUUAGAUACCCUGGUAGUCCACGCUGU
rnacentral:rRNA from 1 species